GAAUGAACUAAACCCAUCGGAUAUUCCACUAGAAUUGAUAGACAGCAACAGUGGUAAUUAUGAUGUCAUGCCCGACGACAAUAAUGACGACAACAGCAGUAAUUAUGAUGUCUUGCCCAACGACAAUAAUGACGACAACACCGAUCAUUAUGAUGUAUUGCCCGACGACGGCCAUGACGACUGUAUCGUUCCGUAUGCAGUCGUCCCUUUGGGCAUUACAGAGCAUGAUGCGACACCAAUGUGCACAUCUCUCCAGAUAACAGAUGAUUAUCUGCACGCUUGUUAUCGAGAAUCCAGCUACAUGAUCCCAACAUCAUCGUAUGUAUUGGGCCGAAUAUGUGAGAGCGAAACUUCAGUUAAGACAAAUUCUACAGUGGCCGAAGAACUAGCCAAUGCCGCUACAUCGGAGACAAAGUACAAAGCGUCCGAAGACGGAUAAAUGUCACUAAAGAAAUCACAACUAACGCUAUCGCCGAAAAACUGUUUGAUUACGUUGAAAGUGAGGACAACUUUGAAGCGGAGACACAUUACACCGGCGCCAAACAGCAGAAAAAUGAUGAAAGUGGCCAAAAAAAAUUACGCAGACUUUGAAUGUUUGGAGAAUGACACUGAAGGGGAGAACAACAAAGAUCCGGAAUCAAGGAGUACGUUUUUGUAUUAAAAUAGAGUACACAUAAGGACAUUUUUUCCGAAUAGGAAUGUUUUCAUAUGGUGUUAACCUAUGCAGUCAAUUUUUAAAUUCCUCAAAGUCAAUUUACAUGUUUGUGUUGCAAAUAUAAAUAUUAACCCCCAUUCACGAGCUUUGUCGAAAUAAACGACCUAUAAAUAAACCUCAUGAUUUCAGAAAUUAUUGGAUAUAGUUGUCAUGCACAUAAUAACGACUUAUUGUUGUUUAUAACAUAACUCAAUUAUCAUUUACGGUGUUCGUUCUUUGAUUUAUUGGUGUUUUAUUUUCUUUAUUUGGGGAUAUUGCUGUGUAUUGUUGUUCUUUAAACAAAGACCGAAUAUUUUGAGAAUAGUGUACGAUAAAAGAAUACUUGGUAUAAAUGACGAAUACUGAUUCCUUUAUUUACUCGGCAUGUAUGCAUCUACCAAUACCCCAUGUUUAUUGCUCAGGUUUCUUUUUGUAAGCAUCGCUAAAUAAAAUAAUGUGAACUGAUUUACUUAAACGAGUUGAAGAACAUUGUUACGAGCAGUCAACGAACCUCUUUUUCGAAUCCUCAGGUCUUGUUUAUUACAAUAUGAAGGGAGUCGACGAUCACUGGUUAAACUUGUGAAUAUCAUGCUCUUCAACAAAUGAACAACCAACACUCUUUCAAAAAAAGUUGAUGAAACCCAACAGUUAAUAAAGAAAGUUAAUUCAUUUGAUAAUGCAGUUGGAGAUUUUGAUAAACAACAUCAUGCUAUUUGCCGAUACCAAAAACACUAACAACCCUAUGAAAACCCAAAAUGUGAUCUAACAAAUAUUUAAGAAGAACAACACA